UACGGGGGGAGCAAGCGUUGUUCGGAUUUACUGGGCGUAAAGGGCGCGUAGGCGGCGCAACAAGUCACUUGUGAAAUCUCCGGGCUUAACCCGGAGCGGCCAAGUGAUACUGUCGUGCUAGAGUGCGGAAGGGGCUACUGGAAUUCUCGGUGUAGCGGUGAAAUGCGUAGAUAUCGAGAGGAACACCUGCGGCGAAGGCGGGUAGCUGGGCCGAAAUUGACGCUGAGGAGCGAAAGCGUGGGGAGCAAACAGG
rnacentral:rRNA from 1 species